CAAACUUAUCUCACCUCCUAACUUUAACUCAAUCCUUAUUUUUUCAAUACCCUCUACUAGUUCACUAUAACUUGCAUACUUAUUGCGAAUGGAAAAUCAUGAAGCAAUACCCUCUACAGGUUCACUUAAUAAAUCUUCUCAUGAAAAUAGCGAUUCUGGAUUCGUGCACCAUUUGUCACUACCUCCAUCUCCUUUACGCUAUCUUAAUCACAUUGAGAAGAGGCUAUGGGAUGCCGAGCAAAAAAUAUCGCUAGCCGAUGAACAGAAAAAGCUUUUGGUAUCACAAGUUUCUUAUUACAAAACAAAAAUCUCAGAUCUACAGCAUGAUUUAAAAAUCCGUCGACAAAUAUCUUCCAGGGAUGUGAAUGACGUUGAUAGACUAAAAAGGGCCUUGGCACAUAUGAAGCACGAAGCAUGUACUCAAUACAAAAGAAACCUUGAAAUGAUGAUUGGUGGUGACAGUGGAUCUGAAAAAACAGCAGGUCCCUAGACAACUCUAAUUUACUAUGAUGAGGUGUUACUGAUGUUAAAUUAUGUAGUGUGAACAAUGUUUGAUUUAAGUAGUUACUACCAUAUUCAUGUUUUGAAUGUAUUAUUUUCGUAUUUCUAUGUCUAAUGUAUUUUGAGUUGUCAUCUAUUUUAAUAUACAUUAACAACUAUUUCUUAAUAUUUAUUUGCCUUUGAAAAAAACCUUACAAAUAAUAAUAAAAAAAUUAAAAAGCAUCUAGUUAACUGUAUAAAAUAAUAUACCACAUAAUGUCAAAAGGACACUUAUAUAAUAAUAUAUUUUUAAAACACAUUUGGUAUAGUGAUAUGUCUUAUAUAAAUACCCCUAAAUAGAGAAUGCUUAGAAUACCACUUACUAUUAUAUUGCACUUGCAUAUAAAAACUCUUUAAGUUAACUAUGUCUUCCUCUCUUGUGACUUCUAUCAAUACUCGUCCAAAGUGCCAUUGUGGCACAGAUUCGGUGUGCCGAACUUCAAGGAGUGAAGAGAACCCUGGUAGAAGAUUUUGGGGGUGUGGAAACUAUGAUCGAGAUUCUUGUAAGGUAUGUCAUUUUUUCGAGUGGGUGGAUCCAGAUGUUCUGGUUGGAGCUAAUGUAGUAUUGCAGAGGUUGGAAAGAAAAAUUGAGGACCAAAGUAAAGAGAUCAAGUUACUUAAGAAAUUUGUGUUAUUCCUAAUUUGUGUUGAACUAAUAAAAUUAUUGUUGUAUUGAAAAUGUAUAACUAAUCCAUGAUAUGAGUGUUUUUCUUAUUAAACUUAUGUAAUCAGUAGUUUGAGUUAAUAUGUUGUAAUGUAUAAUUAAUAUCAUGGAUUCUUAUUAUAA